AUUGAACGCUGGCGGCAUGCUUUACACAUGCAAGUCGGACGGCAGCACAGAGAAGCUUGCUUCUUGGGUGGCGAGUGGCGAACGGGUGAGUAAUAUAUCGGAACGUACCGAGUAAUGGGGGAUAACUAAUCGAAAGAUUAGCUAAUACCGCAUAUUCUCUGAGGAGGAAAGCAGGGGACCUUCGGGCCUUGCGUUAUUCGAGCGGCCGAUAUCUGAUUAGCUAGUUGGUGGGGUAAAGGCCUACCAAGGCGACGAUCAGUAGCGGGUCUGAGAGGAUGAUCCGCCACACUGGGACUGAGACACGGCCCAGACUCCUACGGGAGGCAGCAGUGGGGAAUUUUGGACAAUGGGCGCAAGCCUGAUCCAGCCAUGCCGCGUGUCUGAAGAAGGCCUUCGGGUUGUAAAGGACUUUUGUCAGGGAAGAAAAGGCUGUUGCUAAUAUCGACAGCU
rnacentral:rRNA from 1 species